GACGGAGGGUGCUAGCGUUGUUCGGAAUGACUGGGCGUAAAGGGCGCGUAGGCGGUUAUAUUAGUCAAGGGUGAAAGCCCCGGGCUUAACCCGGGAAUUGCGCCUGAAACGGUAUAACUAGAGGACGAGAGAGGAAAGCGGAAUUCCUAGUGUAGAGGUGAAAUUCGUAGAUAUUAGGAGGAACAUCAGAGGCGAAGGCGGCUUUCUGGCUCGUUACUGACGCUGAGGCGCGAAAGCGUGGGGAGCAAACAGG
rnacentral:rRNA from 1 species